rnacentral:rRNA from 1 species
AUUGAACGCUGGCGGCAGGCCUAACACAUGCAAGUCGAGCGGAUGAAGGGAGCUUGCCCCUGGAUUCAGCGGCGGACGGGUGAGUAAUGCCUAGGAAUCUGCCUGGUAGUGGGGGAUAACGUCCGGAAACGGGCGCUAAUACCGCAUACGUCCUGAGGGAGAAAGUGGGGGAUCUUCGGACCUCACGCUAUCAGAUGAGCCUAGGUCGGAUUAGCUAGUUGGUGGGGUAAAGGCCUACCAAGGCGACGAUCCGUAACUGGUCUGAGAGGAUGAUCAGUCACACUGGAACUGAGACACGGUCCAGACUCCUACGGGAGGCAGCAGUGGGGAAUAUUGGACAAUGGGCGAAAGCCUGAUCCAGCCAUGCCGCGUGUGUGAAGAAGGUCUUCGGAUUGUAAAGCACUUUAAGUUGGGAGGAAGGGCAGUAAGUUAAUACCUUGCUGUUUUGGCGUUACCAACAGAAUAAGCACCGGCUAACUUCGUG